rnacentral:lncRNA from 1 species
ACUCGCAAAGGUCAAGAAAUAGACCGAGUAGUGAGAAAAUCUGCAAAAAGUCUGAUGAACUCAAGGAUGGGGGUAUGCCCCAGUGUGAUGACCCAUGAAGAUCAAGAAGUAGAUCGAGUAGUGAGAGAAUCUGCAAAAGAUCCGAUGAACUCAAGGAUGGGGGUAUGCCCCAGUGUAGGAUAGUAACUAACAUAAGACGCGGAAUCUCACCAUACAAGACACUCUGGGAUAUGCUCAAUGAUGAUGCAAUGGAAAUGAUAUACAUAGCCUCAAUGAACAAACGCUAAAACGAGUCCAAACACCACC